rnacentral:tRNA from 1 species
GGAGUCACAGCUCAGUGGUAGAGCACUUGCCUAGCAUGUGUGAGGCACUGAGUUCAAUUCUCAGCACCA